AAUGAACGCUGGCGGCGUGCCUAACACAUGCAAGUCGAACGAGAGGACAGGAGCUUGCUCCUGGGCUCUAGUGGCAGACGGGUGAGUAACGCGUGGGCAAUCUACCUCCGAGCGGGGGAUACCCAGCCGAAAGGCUGGUUAAUACCGCAUAAUACUGGGACCACUCAGGUGGACCUGGUCAAAGUUGGGGAUUUGGGAAACCGAACCUGACACUUGGAGAGGAGCUCGCGUCAGAUUAGCUAGUUGGUGGGGUAACGGCUCACCAAGGCAUCGAUCUGUAGCCGGCCUGAGAGGGUGAUCGGCCACACUGGAACUGAGACACGGUCCAG
rnacentral:rRNA from 1 species